rnacentral:rRNA from 1 species
GACGAACGCUGGCGGCGUGCUUAACACAUGCCAGUCGAACGGUGAAGCGCCUUCCUUUUUGGUGGGUGUGGAUGAGUGGCGAACGGGUGAGUAACACGUGAGUAACCUGCCCCCUUCUUCUGGAUAACCGCAUGAAAGUGUGGCUAAUACGGGAUAUUCUGGGUCUGUCGCAUGAUGGGUCUGGGAAAGAUAUUGUUUCGGUGGGGGAUGGGCUCGCGGCCUAUCAGCUUGUUGGUGGGGUGAUGGCCUACCAAGGCGGUGACGGGUAGCCGGCCUGGGAGGGUGGACGGUCACACAGGGACUGAGACACGGCCCAGACUCCUACGGGAGGCAGCAGUGGGGAAUAUUGCACAAUGGGCGCAAGCCUGAUGCAGCGACGCCGCGUGAGGGAUGGAGGCCUUCGGGUUGUGAACCUCUUUCGCCAGUGAAGCAGGCCUGCCUCGUUUGUGGGUGGGUUGACGGUAGCUGGAUAAGAAGCGCCGGCUAACUACGUG